GAGUUAACCAUUUUCGGGGGACUAUUUACUCCUGAUCCUAAGUGACAGCUCUGGGAGGGAGAAUCACGUGGCUCUGAAAUCCCCGCUGGGGGCCCAGGAGCAUGCCCAGCUGCCUCAGCCUGGGAAAGAUGCUGGAGCCUGCAGCAGCCACAACAGCAUCCUCUCCCCGCGCCAGGGCCCCGCCGGGAUCCCGAGAUGACUGAUUGGGCAGCCCUCUGAGGCUAAGCUCUGCUCGUCGGGGGAGGGGGGGACCCUAAGGGCGGCGGGUGGGGGUGGGGAGGACCCCGGCUGGAGCUGGAGCGAGCUUGGGGGAGGGGAGACUGGGAUGCUUGGAGAGCUCGAGAGAUUCAUUCAGCGCGGGCUUCCACCUCAGAAACCGGUUCUGGACCGGUAAACAGCUCAAAGCUUGUGAGAUCAAAGGUCCUAACUAGGCUGAGAAAGAAGAACAAAACAGAAUCUCAAGGAAUAACUUUCGAAGGGGGCCUCAACUGUUUCUCAACCCUAGUCCUGGCCUGGCCUCAGCCUCUGACAUCGGAGAGCAUGGGCUGACAGGUGAGCUACUGGCUGGAGUCCUUCCUCCCCUCCUUCCCCUCUGAGCAGGCUCUCUCUCAGGUGUGUGUGUGGGGGCGAUCCCGAAUGAGCACCUUCCCUAUCCCUCAGAGACUGCCUCCUGGCACUCUCUUUGGUCCACUGUCUUCCACCUAUCAUAGACAAGAGUGCGUGGAAAGAUCCCAAAGAGUCCGCCGCUCCUCGAAGCCUGCUUCUCCAGAGCUGUGAAUUCCUCCCACCCCGACUUCCGAGGGCGAGUGGAACAUUCUAUUUAAAGGGUGAAACAAAACAGGUGAGGGAGUGUACAGUGUAGGAAAGAGGAAUGGGAGACCAUAGGCAGAAGCAGGGAGAACACAGAUGAGCCCACUUGGCCGCCGCGGGCCCCCCCACUUCUGUCAUCUUCUUGGCAGUCCAGUGGUGGGCACUUUUCUCCCAAUGCACUGAGCCCAGAAUGGCACGACACCAGACCAUAGUGCUUGCUUCCCUAGGGAGUCCAGGUAAGAGAACCCCCCCCCCCCCCCCCCCGGCUUUUUAAAAAAGAGCUCAUUUUCUUUUGGGGGCUCCUCGGGUCCCAUUUCCACCUUUUUGAAGGCCCCCUGAAAGGGUAGGAAAAAUGAGUGCCAGGAGAUAAAGAGCCGGGCAGAAACGGGUGCUUUCCUCUGGUCCUCCGGAAAAAAUAGAGACCUUUUCAGGAAGCUGGGGGGAGGGACCUGCCUGUAAACGGAUCCCUGGGUGGAUUAAGUGUGUCGGGCGCUUGAACAGGUUUGCAUGUCGCUAGUGGCCGAUUAAUUAGGCACCUACGCGGUGCUCUCUGCUAAUGUCCACAUCAGCUGGCCAGAUGGCUGAUAAAGGGGUGGGGGGGAGUAGCUUCCGUGCACUCCCUGACGAUAGCUGGAGGACAACUCUCUGGGCAGUGGCUCACUUAAGCCCAGAAAACACUAAGAACAAAUCAUUCUCCUUUGGGGAGGGAUAGCAGAACGUUUUUGGAUUAGGUUUAAGAGGUGGGGGGAAGGGGGAGAGGCGCGCAGGUGACUCCCCUUGCCCUCUUUCCCCAGGGAUAGCGAUAGGGUUGGGACCUGUGGUUUGGCGGUAUAGGGAACUCCCAAAUGAGGAAACUCCUACCAGUGCAGGUCAGCAGCUUCUCUGCAGUUUUGAGUUGCUUAGAAGAUUGAGAGUUUAAAUGAUUGGCAGAGCAUUACUCAGCCAAUAAGGAUUCAGGUCUUGGCUUUGAGGCUGACUCUCUAGCCAAUGAGAGCCAAGCUGCCUCAGGGUUUUGCACCCCCCACCCCAAGCUAUAAUAAAAAUGUGGCAGAUUCUUCCCCCCA
ensembl:lncRNA